rnacentral:rRNA from 1 species
AUUGAACGCUGGCGGCACGCCUAACACAUGCAAGUCGAGCGGCAGCGAGACUAGUAGCAAUACUAGUUGUCGGCGAGCGGCGGACGGGUGAGGAACACGUAGGAACCUGCCUAAGCGCGGGGGAUAACUAAUGGAAACGUUAGCUAAUACCGCAUAAUCCCGAGAGAGCAAAGCUGCAGCAACGUAGCGCUAAUAGAGGGGCCUGCGUCCGAUUAGCUAGUUGGUGAGGUAAUGGCUCACCAAGGCGAUGAACGGUAACUGGUCUGAGAGGACGACCAGUCAAACUGGGACUGAGAAACGGCCCAGAAUCCUACGGGAGGCAGCAGUGGGGAAUCUUGGACAAUGGGGGCAACCCUGAUCCAGCGAUGCCGCGUGAGUGAAGAAGGCCUUCGGGUCGUAAGGCUCUUUAGGCUGGGAAGAAGGGUGGUUGAGGAAAUGCGAUCAUUUUGACUGUACCAGCAGAAUAAGCACCGGCAAACUCUGUGCCAGCAGCCGCAGUAA